UACGGGGGGGCAAGCGUUGUUCGGAAUUACUGGGCGUAAAGGGCUCGUAGGCGGCCAACUAAGUCGGAUGUGAAAUCCCCAGGCUCAACUUGGGAACUGCAUCCGAUACUGGAUGGCUUGAAUUCGGGAGAGGGAUGCAGAACUCCUGGUGUAGCGGUGGAAUGCGCAGAUAUCAGGAAGAACACCAACGGCGAAGGCAGCUCGCUAGGACGGUACUGACGCUGGAGACGCGAAAGCGUGGGGAGCGAACAGG
rnacentral:rRNA from 1 species